GACGAACGCUGGCGGCGUGCUUAACACAUGCAAGUCGAACGGAAAGGCCCUGCUUUUGUGGGGUGCUCGAGUGGCGAACGGGUGAGUAACACGUGAGUAACCUGCCCUUGACUUUGGGGUAACUUCAGGAAACUGGGGCUACUACCGGAUAGGAGCUCCUGCUGCAUGGAGGGGGUUGGAAAGUUUCGGCGGUUGGGGUUGGACUCGCGGCUUAUCGACUUGUUGGUGGGGGAGGGGCUUACCAAGGCUUUGACGGGUAGCCGGCCUGGGAGGGUGACCGGGCACAGUGGGACUGGGGUAGGGCCCAGAGUCAUACGGGAGGCAGGGGUGGGGAAUAUUGCACAAGGGGCGGAGGCGGGAUGGAGGAACGUCGCGUGGGGGAGGACGGCUUUUGGGUAGGAAAACGAUUUCGCCUGUGACGAGGCGUGAGGGAGGGUAAUGGAUAAAGAGGAACGGGUUAAUUACGU
rnacentral:rRNA from 1 species